AGAGUUUGAUCCUGGCUCAGGACUAACGCUGGCGGCGUGCCUAACACAUGCAAGUCGAACGAGCUUAUAUUUGAUAGCAAUAUUGAGUAUGAGCAAGUGGCGAACGGGUGAGUAACACGUAGGUAAUCUAGCCAUGGAACGGGAACAACCCAGGGAAACUUGGGCUAAUGCCCGAUAAGACCACGACCCGGGAGGGUUGCGGGAAAAGGCGGGGUAGCAAUAUCUCGCGUCUAUGGGUGAGCCUGCGGCCUAUCAGCUAGUUGGCAGGGUAAAAGCCUACCAAGGCGAAGACGGGUAGCCGGCCUGAGAGGGUGAACGGCCACACUGGGACUGAGACACGGCCCAGACUCCUACGGGAGGCAGCAGUGAGGAAUUUUCCGCAAUGGGCCCAAGCCUGACGGAGCGACGCCGCGUGAGGGAUGAAGGCUUUCGGGUUGUAAACCUCUUUUGUGGGGGAAAAAGGUUUUCAUGCUCAUACCAUGAGAAUUUGAUGGUACUCCAUGAAUAAGCCCCGGCUAACUACGUGCCAGCAGCCGCGGUUAUACGUAGGGGGCGAGCGUUGUCCGGAGUUACUGGGCGUAAAGGGCGUGUAGGCGGUUGGAUAAGUCUGGCGUGAAAUCCCAUGGCUCAACCAUGGAACUGCGCUGGAAACUGUCUGACUGGAGUUCGGUAGGGGUGACUGGAAUCCCCGGUGUAACGGUGAAAUGUAUAGAUAUCGGGGGGAACACCUGUGGCGAAGGCGGGUCACUGGGCCGCAACUGACGCUGAGACGCGAAAGCGUGGGGAGCAAACAGGAUUAGAUACCCUGGUAGUCCACGCUGUAACGAUGAGUGCUAGGUGUAGGGGGUAUCGACUCCUUCUGUGCCGCAGUACACAAUAAGCACUCGCCUGGGGAGUACGGUCGCAGAUAAACUCAAGGAUGACGG
rnacentral:rRNA from 1 species